CGCGGCCUAUCAGCUUGUUGGUGAGGUAACGGCUCACCAAGGCAUCGACGGGUAGCUGGUUUGAGAGAACGAUCAGCCACACUGGAACUGAGACACGGUCCAGACUCCUACGGGAGGCAGCAGUGGGGAAUCUUGCACAAUGGGCGAAAGCCUGAUGCAGCGACGCCGCGUGGGGGAUGAAGGCCCUAGGGUCGUAAACCCCUUUCAGUAGGGACGAAAAUGACGGUACCUACAGAAGAAGGUCCGGCCAACUACGUGCCAGCAGCCGCGGUAAGACGUAGGGACCGAGCGUUGUCCGGAUUUAUUGGGCGUAAAGGGCUCGUAGGCGGUUACGUAAGUCGGAUGUGAAAACUCCAGGCUCAACUUGGAGACGCCAUCCGAUACUGCGUUGACUUGAGUCCGGUAGAGGAGUGUGGAAUUCCUAGUGUAGCGGUGAAAUGCGCAGAUAUUAGGAGGAACACCUAUUGCGAAGGCAGCACUCUGGGCCGGUACUGACGCUGAGGAGCGAAAGCAUGGGUAGCAAACAGGAUUAGAUACCCUGGUAGUCCAUGCCGUAAACGUUGGGCACUAGGUGUGGGUCUCAACCAACGAGAUCCGCGCCGUCGCUAACGCAUUAAGUGCCCCGCCUGGGGAGUACGG
rnacentral:rRNA from 1 species